rnacentral:rRNA from 1 species
UACCUACGGGAGGCAGCAGCCGCGGUAAUACGUAUGGUGCAAGCGUUAUCCGGAUUUACUGGGUGUAAAGGGAGCGCAGGCGGUGCGGCAAGUCUGAUGUGAAAGCCCGGGGCUCAACCCCGGGACUGCAUUGGAAACUACCGAACUAGAGUGUCGGAGAGGUAAGUGGAAUUCCUAGUGUAGCGGUGAAAUGCGUAGAUAUUAGGAGGAACACCAGUGGCGAAGGCGGCUUACUGGACGAUAACUGACGCUGAGGCUCGAAAGCGUGGGGAGCAAACAGGAUUAGAAACCCCUGUAGUCCGUGU